UACGUAGGCAGCGAGCGUUGUUCGGAGUUACUGGGCGUAAAGGGUGCGUAGGCGGUUGUUUAAGUUUGGUGUGAAAUCUCCCGGCUCAACUGGGAGGGUGCGCCGAAUACUGAAUGACUAGAGUGCGGGAGAGGAGAGUGGAAUUCCUGGUGUAGCGGUGAAAUGCGUAGAUAUCAGGAGGAACACCGGUGGUGUAGACGGCUCUCUGGACCGUAACUGACGCUGAGGCACGAAAGCUAGGGGAGCAAACAGG
rnacentral:rRNA from 1 species